rnacentral:lncRNA from 1 species
AAGAAGGCUAAAAGCCCAACACCAAGCCCGUCCCCUGCCAGGAAUUCUGAUCAAGAAGGAGGUGGAAAGAAAAAGAAGAAGAAGAAGGACAAGAAACACAAGAAGGAUAAGAAACACAAGAAGCACAAAAAACACAAGAAGGAGAAGGCUGUGGCCGUAGCCACCCCAGCUCCUGCUGCCCCUGCAGCUGUCUCUGCUGCCGCCACUCCAUCAGCCCAGGAAGAGCCUGCGGCAGCACCAGAGCCCAGGAAGGAGACUGAGAGUGAAGCUGAAGAUGACAACCUUGAUGACUUAGAGAGGCACCUUCGGGAGAAGGCCCUUCGAUCCAUGCGGAAGGCCCAAGUGUCCCCACAGUCCUAGGCAGACAUGUUUGUUACGUUGUAAAUUUUAUUUGGCUUGUACUCAAUUCAAUUUCAAAAUUGCUAAAAUGUGUUUGAGCUUUA